AAAAGUAGUGCACUACAUAGGGAAUAGGGUGUCAUUUUGCACGCUCACAUUGUUUACCAAUGUUUCACAUGGCCCAGACAUUGGCUGUGUCUGAAAAUGGCACCCUACAGAUGUCGGAUCUUAAUUUGACCCAUUUUUGUCGCAGGAGUAAAAUGAUCUUGCAGCAGGAGGAUUUGAAUGAAUAUUGAAUAUUUAGAAUCGCCGCCAGGGGACAGCUGGAAGCGGUGUUUGUAGGCUUUUCAAUGCAGUACCGUACCUACAUUGUACCUUAAACUGUAUAUAAAUACAACAGAUUCUGAUCCAACAUCCCCGGACCCAACUCAUUGGAAUGCCCACACCCCAUGGCCCAACUAGCAAUGUGUACAAUGCAUAGUCCAACAGGGGGAUGACUCUUAAAGGAUGGUGCCUGAUUGGCUGUGCUGUAGUCCUGUCAUAUGGACUGGAAUUACACACUUCCUUCUGACUAUGAAGCUGGGAGAGAACAGGCCAGGCUGAUGGUUCAUUGAUGUGUGCAGGACAGUGAUUUAAUAGAUGAAUGGGGCCGUCAACUGAGCCAGACAUUCACAUUCAAAUAUUUUACAUCCCCCCCCCCCUCUUUCUGAGUUUUUAACAGAUUUCCAUCUCUGUCACAGGAUACUGUAUUGCUGUGUCUGUGUUGUCCGGGGGUUACAUAAAAACUACAGGUUAUGAGAGGACUGGGACUGCCCCACUUCUUAAAGAAGACCUUUAUGAAUAAUAAUAGGUUUAUAAUAUAAGGAUCAUGCAUUAUGAUGAUGAUAUAGGCCUGAUGAUGAUGAUGAUAUAGGCCUGAUGAUGAUGAUGAUGAUAUAGGCCUGAUGAUGAUGAUGAUAUAGGCCUGAUGAUGAUGAUGAUGAUAUAGGCCUGAUGAUAUGCAGUGGGAGAAUUCUAACGUGAACAGAUGGGUGGGGAAAACAGAUUCUUUGAAUGAUAAUGACCGAAUCAUUGUCGGCGGGAUUAGACAGGGUGGGUGCGAAUGGCAGGAGUGGGGGAGGUAAAAUCAGCUGUUCCACAAGCUGUUCAAUUGGUUAGCAAUCAACUGAUGGCCCAACUCAGCUCAUCCACUCUGCCAGGGAAACACAAACAGUAGCCUACUAUAGGUUUUCACAGGCAGCCCAAUUCUGAUAUUUUUUUCCACUAAAUCGGUAUUUUGACCAAUCACAUCACACCUUUAAUAUCAUGAUCUUUUUUCAGAGCUCAUCUGAUUGGUCAAAUGACCAAUGAGUGAAAAAAAAAGAGUCAGAAUUGGGCUGCCUGUGUAAACGCAGCCAGAAUGUGACAAUGGAUCGGCUAACGCAUAGCCUACAGAAUGUGUUGCAGCCUAUUGCAACCCUCCAUGACACUAGUUAAACCACCAAUACAGUCACUACCACUCCCUAAAAGACGACGUCUUUGUCCUGCUUGCAACCAAAGUCUUUGAAGAGAUGUUCGACCUUGGUUGGUAUUGUCAUCGGAACAACCUGGUCCUUUUUGACCUGCGGGGUGAUGUAUCUAUUUGAUUCUGUAGAAUUUAAAUGAAGAGUCUCCUUGUUUACCGCGCUAAAUCUACUGUGGUAUUUACACAACACUUUGUAUGAAUGGAAACUAAUGUUGGUGUCACACUCUGACCAUAGUUUGCUUUGUAUGUUUCUAUGUUUUGUUUGGUCAGGGUGUGAUCUGAGUGGGCAUUCUAUGUUGUGUGUCUAGUUGGACUCUUUCUGUGUUUGGCCUGAUAUGGUUCUCAGAGGCAGGUGUUAGUCAUUGUCUCUGAUUGGGAACCAUAUUUAGGUAGCCUGUUUGGUGUUGGGUUUUGUGGGUGAUUGUCUCCUGUGUCAGUGUUUGUACCACACGGGACUGGUUUCGGGUUUUCACAUUUAUUGUUUUGUA
ensembl:lncRNA